UACGGAGGGUGCAAGCGUUAUCCGGAUUCACUGGGUUUAAAGGAUGCGUAGGUGGGCAGGUAAGUCAGUGGUGAAAUCUCCGGGCUUAACCCGGAAACUGCCAUUGAUACUAUUUGUCUUGAAUACCGUGGAGGUCAGCGGAAUAUGUCAUGUAGCGGUGAAAUGCUUAGAUAUGACAUAGAACACCAAUUGCGAAGGCAGCUGGCUAGACGAAUAUUGACACUGAUGCACGAAAGCGUGGGUAGCAAACAGG
rnacentral:rRNA from 1 species